UUUUUAUGAGAGUUUGAUCCUGGCUCAGGACGAACGCUGGCGGCGUGCCUAAUACAUGCAAGUAGAACGCUGAAGUCUG
rnacentral:rRNA from 1 species